rnacentral:rRNA from 1 species
GUGUAGACCCGAAACCAAGUGAUCUAUCCAUGGCCAGGAUGAAGGUACCGUAACAGGUGCUGGAGGUCCGAACCGACUAGUGUUGCAAAACUAGCGGAUGAGCUGUGGAUAGGGGUGAAAGGCUAAACAAACUUGGAAAUAGCUGGUUCUCUCCGAAAACUAUUUAGGUAGUGCCUCAAGUAUUACCUGCGGGGGUAGAGCACUGUUUAGGUUAGGGGGUCAUGGCGACUUACCAAACCUUAGCAAACUCCGAAUACCGCAGAGUACAGCUUGGGAGACAGAGCACCGGGUGCUAACGUCCGGACUCAAGAGGGAAACAACCCAGACCGC